rnacentral:rRNA from 1 species
GACGAACGCUGGCGGCGUGCUUAACACAUGCAAGUCGAACGGAAAGGCCCUGCUUUUGUGGGGUGCUCGAGUGGCGAACGGGUGAGUAACACGUGAGUAACCUGCCCUUGACUUUGGGAUAACUUCAGGAAACUGGGGCUAAUACCGGAUAGGAGCUCCUGCUGCAUGGUGGGGGUUGGAAAGUUUCGGCGGUUGGGGAUGGACUCGCGGCUUAUCAGCUUGUUGGUGGGGUAGUGGCUUACCAAGGCUUUGACGGGUAGCCGGCCUGAGAGGGUGACCGGCCACAUUGGGACUGAGAUACGGCCCAGACUCCUACGGGAGGCAGCAGUGGGGAAUAUGGCACAAUGGGCGGAAGCCUGAUGCAGCAACGCCGCGUGCGGGAUGACGGCCUUCGGGUUGUAAACCGCUUUCGCCUGUGACGAAGCGUGAGUGACGGUAAUGGGUAAGGAAGCACCGGCUAACUACGU